rnacentral:rRNA from 2 species
UACGUAGGGACCAAGCGUUGUUCGGAUUUACUGGGCGUAAAGGGCGCGUAGGCGGCUUUGUAAGUCACUUGUGAAAUCUCCGGGCUUAACUCGGAACGGCCAAGUGAUACUGCAAUGCUAGAGUGCAGAAGGGGCAAUCGGAAUUCUCGGUGUAGCGGUGAAAUGCGUAGAUAUCGAGAGGAACACCUGAGGUGAAGACGGGUUGCUGGGCUGACACUGACGCUGAGGCGCGAAAGCCAGGGGAGCAAACGGG